GACUUUCUAUUUUUGGUCUUCAGGAAUCAUGGUUCAUAAAGAUGAACUAGAACUUGGCAAAGAGAAAGGCAAGCUCAGCUUCAAUCCAGUGGAGACAGUGACAACAUCUUGCCUGCGGAGGUCUAAAUUUGAGAAAGGGAUUGUGGGUCCCAGAAGAGUCAACUGACACAGUCUAUUCAACUGGCAGAAGGUUGUAGAAUAUCUGACUGCUUAAGUCAACAAGAGAGAGCUGUUGGGGAUGGUCAGAACCCUCCAUUUCUGAAGCUGGGGCCAGUAACCAAUGAAAACCGAUUACUGGAGAAAAGCUGAAAGAGAAUUGUCCCUGUAUUGCCUUCUUCCUAGUUGUUUCUGAUCUGUCAAGGUAGAAGGGAUGUGAUCUAAGAGCUGUUUAUUCAGUGUAUGCUAUGGCUGCCUAUGCGUGUCUAAGAAAAAGUCUUGAAUCUAAAUAUAACACAAAUUAUGGAGACAGGCACAUGACUGGUAUGUGAACACUGAGACAAAAUUGGAGAAGAGCCAGUGCCACCUACGUGUCGAAAGAAUGCAGAGGAUGGACAAAUGGCUUUCGUGUGGCACUAAAAGAGGUGUGGCAGAGGAGAUGCUGAGCUCUGAAGUGUGCUGAAGAGUUUGAUAAGUGAUCUGAUAUAAAUGACAUUUCCAUCUCUGUGCAACAUAAAAGCAACAAAAAUAAACAAGCAAGCAGAUGCGAAGGCCAUAUCCAAGUGUUGGAGAUAUUAACUCCAUUUGCCAAGUGAGAGAUUUGGUAACUGUGAUGGUUUGGAUGAGAAAUGUUCCCCAUGUGCUCAUGCGUUUGAACACUUGACCUCCAGCUGGUGGUGUCUGGGAAGACUGUGGCAUGCUUAAGAGGUGGGGCCUCAGCAGAGGAAGUGGGUCAGAGUGGGUAAGCCUCGAGAUUUUCAUAGCCAGGCUUCUCUUCCUGUUCUCCCCUGGUUCCUGAUAAUGAAAGCAAUGUGAUUAGCUGCCUCCUGCUACAGUUGCCAUCUUUCCCUAGCCAUGAACCACCUCCCCUCGAAUUGUAAGAUAAAACAAAGCCUUCUUCAAGUACACUGCUUCUUGGCAGUUAUUUUAUCACAACAGCGAGAAAGGCCACUGACAUAAUGUCGCACAGUUCUUUUCAAAUAAGGCUCAGUGCGGGCUACUCAAUUCCUGCCCACUCCACCACAGCAGCAAUGGCAGGCCAGCCUCUUAUGGUUUCACUUACACCUCUUCCGCACCUUCACCUUCACCUGCCAGCUCUGAGGCAUCCACUCAAGCCCCAAAGCACAGUUGGGAGAGCAUGGCUGCACAUCUCUUUCAUGCUCCGUACAGAUUCCUUUCUUAUUACACUUACCCAGCAGGCUGAAAGUGCUUACAAGUCCUCCCUGGUCCUCACCUGCACCUGUCUUACACUGUAAGCUCCUCAUAGGUGAAAGAAAUGCCGAAUUUGCCAUGGUUUAAGUAUCCACUGAUUCAAGUAGAAUUGGGAUUCAUAAAACAGUAUUGAUGAAUUGAAUAUGUAAAUAAUGAGUUUGGGUAGAAUUACACACAUUUAAAGAGUGACUAGAAGACACUUAGUGGUAUUUAGAGCUCCCUCAAAAUCGAGGAUUCCCUGAUUUGAGCCAAGUAAGUAGAAGUUAUAGCAACCAGUCAGUGACCACAUAAGGGAGUAGGAAUAUAUUAAUUAUUACCAUAGGAAGACACAGCUCAGCAAGCUGCAUAUAGUAAGUCUCAAGGAAGAGGGAUCUUGCAAAAUGGAAGUCUGGUGCACAAAAGGGUGCAGAUGUGGGCCCUAAAAUUAGGUAGCCUAAUUUUAAGUACCACUAGGCUGUAAUGAACAGAGAGAGAGCAUGGGGCACUUGGUUAUCCACUUCCUGCCUUUUUCCCUCAUCUGUAACAUAAGAAGAAGCAUAAUGUUUACCUCAAAGGGUUGAGAUAGUACAACAAAUGAGUUAGUAUAUAUGUAAACAGCUUUGAAUAAUUCUGGACACAAUGUAUCUCCUGCAAGUGCUAGCUGUUGUAAUUGCUGUCUGAAUCUUCUCCAUAAUAAUUCCAAAGAAAAAUUGGUCUAAUGGGU